rnacentral:lncRNA from 1 species
GUCAGGAUGCAGGAACGACAAGGUGUUCAGAGUCCACACACAACAGACGGCUGCAGAGGGAGAUUUACAGUGAAAUCCGGCAAACAGAGGAACAGGAGAAAUCCCAAGAGAACUUACCCUUCCAUCACGGAGAACCACCCCGGAAGCGGAGGAGGCGACCACCUGUGUGGCUGUCUUUGAGAGACAGCUUUAAAACAUUUUGCCAAUUGGCCCAAAACAGCGUUUCCAUGAAAGAAGGUCCCUCCUUCUGGAUAAAACAUUGUCUCCAGAAGGCACCUGUUAAAAUCAGGGAUGAAUUACUUGGAAGAAGGAUGAUGCUAACAACUGGCCCCGAGCUGUUGGUUGAAGUGGUGCGCACGGCCGGGCAAAGCGCGCGGAUCCACAGGCGCAGAGACGAGGACAUCACACAGUGGAGUUUUUCCUGAGGAAUUUGCCAGACAACGUCAGCUCAAACGGAAGUUCUAAAGAAUAAGAUGGUCAUAUUUGAGACAUAGGGAAAGGAGAUCUGUCUUUGUUCAGAGGGAUCUGUCCUGAGUCACAAGCUUUCUCUUCCACCUCCUUCCUGGAUGGACGCCAUGGCUCUGCUGGUGAGGUAAGACAGAGCUCGGAGCCCCCAGCCGAAGAUAGGAGCGCUGGAGUGGAGGCGGGCGUGGGAGAAGGUGACCUCAUGUGUAUAGCUUCUAAAGCAUCAGACCCUUCUCACUUUUAAUGGCCCGUGGAUACUAAUUAUUAAAUAUAAUACUUAAUAGUAUAAUACUGGAAAGAUAACCAUUAAAAAUAGCAAUGAUGCCUGCUUUUACCACUAUUUUUUAAACAUUAUAUGGAAAGUACAAGCCAAAAAGAAUUAGAAGAAAAACAAAGUAAAAGUUAUAAUCUUAUUUCUGCAUAUUACCAAUCCACUGUGUGACUGCUAAAAUAAUAGAAAUAACAAAUCUGUAGAAUAAGUGUUUUUGUCAUGCUGACCAUGUCUGUAUGGUCCUUGAGAAGAAUUUUAUAUAUUUCAGAAUUUUAACUCUCCAAAUAGUUCAAUUAUUUCAUGAAAAACCAUUAGAUUAAUAUCUGAAUAUUAUUAAAUCGUUCUUUAAUUGAUCACAUUGAAAUUCAAGGGAGAACAUGAUGCUGAUGUUGAAUUGUAUAACAUUGUUAUGUAGUUUGCUCACAUCACUCUAAAUAAGCAUCGUCAGAAUGAAUGUGGCCGUAUUCCUUCAAAGUAUCAUCUUCAGAGGGCAAGUUUACUUCUGGUAGUCCUAUUAGCAAAAAGAAAGACAAAUUCAGAACAUUUUUGUACCGUUGCAUUGAAUGAGUACACUUUCAGCUUAUUCAAUGAUAAAACCAU